rnacentral:misc_RNA from 1 species
UGCAGCUUCUGCGGCCUCACCUCAG